GGUGGCUCAGUGGUAGAGUGCUUGCCUUGCACAUAAGAGGCCCUGGGUUCAAUUCCUCAGCACCA
rnacentral:tRNA from 1 species